AAAUUAAAUUAAAGUCUAGAUAAGCCAAACAGCCUCAAACUCCGCACGCACAGCUCCAUUUUCGCUAGUCUGAUCGCCGAGACCUUAGACCUCCAUCCCUGCACAAGAAAGAGAGCUUAGGGUUAGGGAUGAGGACAAGCUUGAGCCCCCAGGCCAAAACGGGUUCAUCUCAAGGUGGGUUCACCCCUUUGUCUCGGCUAACCCUAGGAAAUUACGGAGGGAUCAGAGUCCGGGUGCGCGUGUCCCGGAUUUGGGUGUCCUUCAAUCCAAAUACUGGCACAGAGUUCGGUCUCGACUGCCUCCUGAUCGACGAAGAGGGUGUAACUAUACAAGCACGUGCACUCCACCGCUACAUGAAGCGGCUCAAAGACCAGCUAGUUGAAGGGAAGGUCUAGGCCUUGUCGCAUUUCACAGUAUGCCCAAGAGAGCAUGAGUACAUGGCCUGUAGAAAUGGUUCAAUGAUUUACAUGGAUGGACAGACAGUGGUAGAUGAGAUAGAUAAUAAUAUUGGUUCUUCUUCGAUACCUCUCCAUAGCUUUGAGUUUGUUGAUUUCGAUGAUGUUCCUUCGAGGAAUGGCGACAAACGCUUCUUUACAGAUAAUAUCCACUGAAGGCUUGGGGGAGGCUUGGAAGUGGAAAAUUUGGCGUAACAUAUCUUUCCGUAACAUAUGUUUAUGCGAUUUGAGGGGAAGGAAAUUGAAUGUUGCGCUGUUCGGAGAUCUUGGUCGAAAUUUUGAUGCAGAGCAGGUUUUCAAGCAAAGCCAAAAUGCCCCAAUUGUUGCUGUUUUUGCAGGGAUGCUUGUUCGACGAUACGCUGGUCUGAUCUCCACUCAGUCAUGGUUUUUAAGGCGGAAAGGCGAGGUGCGGCGAGCGACCCCCUUCCGGACGCUUAGGCGAAUAAGGCGCGCGGCGAGGCGACGCCAUAUACAUACCCUCAUCUAGAAUAGAGGCAGCACAAACAUGCACCAACAUACAGUCACUUGAUCUCCAUACCCACCUGCCAAGUGCUGCUUCAACCUUUUAAUCCCUUCAUGAACCAUGGUGUCAUAGAGGGUACAUGUCACUUGAUCUCUGUUUUCAAGGCAAAGGGUUUACAGUUUGCUCAACAUCAGCUUCAAAGUACUACUUGGAUUUGGAUAUACCACAGGUGCAAGAGUUCCAUGCAAGUUUGACAGAUCCACAUAAACCGAUCCUUCUCCACCCGUGUCAGGUACAAAAUCCUGUAAAUCCAGCUGACUUAGUUAAGAACUGGCGAACAAUCAAACAGCUUAAAAGCCUGAACCCACAUGAAUUAGAGGUAACUUGGUGCACUGUGAUCAGAUUCAAACCUUUUUCGGUCACUUAUAUGUCCUUUCUCCCCUGUAGCCAGGCACCACAUUUUUGUGCAGGGCCACCUUGAAAGGCAUAGACUGCACCAAAGGUUGGUUUUAUUGGUCAUGCUUUCACUGCAAACGGUCGAUCAGUAGGGAUGGAAUCAAUUCCUUGUGCAUCCAAGGUUGCCCGAAAAAUCCACCACCUGUUCCACGGUACAAACUGAAUGCAGUGAUGGAAGACAUGACAGGCGCUAUGGACGUCAUGAUUUUUGAUGACAAAGCACAAGAGCUUGUUGGUGCUGCAGCGGAGGAGCUCGUUUGAGAGGUUACAGGCGAAGACAUUUCAGCUGUUCUUUGUUCCCACCAGAGCCACGCCUUCGUAAUUGCUGCUGACAAAGGGUGCUUCGUGGUGAAGCACAUCCUGAACGAUGAUGAGCUGCAGCUCAUUGGUUCAGCUCAGGCGGCAGCAGGAGGUGGCCUUCUCCUGUCAGAGGAAGAGGGCUCUUCUAUAUCUACGAGGCCAGUCCUGUAAAAAUUGUUAAGAAGGAGAAGAUGGUGUAUGAAGAAGAGAGUGAAGCAGGAGUUGGCUGUGAAUUGCCACAUGGUGGGGGCUCUCCUGCAUGCUGCAGCUCCAGUUCACCAGUGAAAAAGGAGAAAAUGGCGAUUAAAGAAAAAGAAGAGAGGGAGCCAAAAAGGCAGAAGAUCGCCCAACGCAACGAGGCUGAGCGACAGAUGCAGAAUGACCCCCUUUCUGCAGCCAUCAACAACAUAUCAUCUUAGAAGAAUAAGACGUGUACAUGGUUAGUCAGAUCGUCGAAAUACAACGUAUCAGCCGUAGUUAUGGAAGUAUCCUUCGUGAAAUUAGAACUGUUCUACCCUUUACAUAUUUGCAAUAGCUAUCGUGACCUUAAUGUAGCAGCAUCUCCUGCAAACAGCACUGCUAGUCUGUCAGAAACUGCAGAGCUGGAGCUGGAUCAAUCCUUUUGCCGCAUGGUUCAGUGUAAUCGUUGCUAAUCGCGUGCCAUGGUAUCAAAGUCACGUUAUUAUUAAUUCUCUAAUGCUAGUAGUCUAAGUUUUAAAAAAAAUGCUAGUAGUCUGAACUA